rnacentral:rRNA from 1 species
GACGAACGCUGGCGGCGUGCCUAACACAUGCAAGUCGAACGGAAAGGCCCUGCUUUUGUGGGGUGCUCGAGUGGCGAACGGGUGAGUAACACGUGAGUAACCUGUCCUUGACUGUGGGAUAACUUCGGGAAACUGGGGCUAAUACCGGCUAGGAUCUCCUGCUGCAUGGUGGGGGUUGGAUAGUUUCGGCGGUUGGGGAUGGACUCGCGGCUUAUCAGCUUGAUGGUUGGGUAGUGGCUUACCAAGGCUUUGACGGGUAGCCGGGCUGAGAGGGUGACCGGCCCCAUUAGGACUGAGAUACGGCACGGACUAGUACGGGAGGCAACGGUGGAGAAUAGUACACAAUGGGCGGGAGCCUGGUGCAGCAACGCCGCGUGCGGGAAGACGGCCUUCGGGUUGUAAACCGCUUUCGCCUGUGACGAAGCGUGAGUGACGGUAAUGGGUAAAGAAGCACCGGCUAACUACGUG